ensembl:lncRNA
ACAGCUGCUUUGCCUCAGGCGUAAAUCAGAAGAGGAAAACCAGCUUCUGGACCCGGAGGGAGGAUGAAAGGGAAUAGGAAUUGAGGGAAGUGGAAGGGAAGACUAAGGGACCCCUGGAGAGUCCCUACUAAGCCAGACAUAACAAACAAAAGUCCUCUGCUACUGGGGAAGACAGAACAGAGAAGCCAGCAGGGGAAGAAAAAGAUGAUGCUGUUCUUGAUGCCUCAAAAACUGCAAGGGAGAACCCAGGCAACUGAUAUACACACCCUUGGAACAAAUCUACCCCAGAAGUACAAGACACACACUUCAAAUUCAUGGAAUAAAUGGGAGCUCCUGGCCACAGUGGGAGCCAUGAUCUCUCUCCUUUAUACGUGGCUGUAUUCCCAGAGCUUUCAUUUCCAUGUGGCACAUUUUUAUGCUCAUUUUGGGUAAAGAUAUCUGAAAGGAGCUGGUGUAGUGAAGGAUGAAGAGAAGGCAAUGCAAUGGUUUAGGGAUGUAGAAAUGCUUCUUAAUGUUGCUGCAAAACGGGGAUCCAAGAAGACGAAGAACUUCUGGAGAAUGUUAUUUGGACUAAAAGCAAGCUCUUGCCAACUGCAAGAACCAGGAGUUUUUAUAAACCAUAAUGUGUGUCCUGCAUCCUCUUCCUGGAACAUAGGAUGUUCUGCUCUCACUUGUCCACUGUGGCCCUGCAAUGCUUUGUGGCACUUUCAACGGAAGCUCCUUUUACUUAUAGUCUCGUAUGCUACUGUAGCAUUAAUUUGCUGCUGCAGCAUUAAUUUGCUGGUUAAAAUCCUUUCAAUGAAGUGUUACUUAUAUGUUUUCUUGGAUUUGAGUUUGACCUCUUCUGGAUAGAGGAGUACUUUAUUUGGUUUUCAUUACUGCUCACUUCAGCUAAAGUUGCAUUCAAGCCAGUGAGCAUUCUAUAACGUGGUAAGUGGAAAUAACAAAGAAACUUGUCACACCAGAGAUUGCUUCUUGGAUGUGUUAGUUGGCACUCACAGAUCCACUGAAAGAGCUAAACUCAUCAUUAGCCAAAUCUAUGACAUGUGAUGUUCUGCCUAAAAUAAGUCUGUUUUCAUUUCUCUCCAUUUCAAUUUUCUGCUCUAUUAGGUUUCUAUGGUAUUUUAUUACAUUCACUUUCUGUAUUACAAAAAGUCCUUUAUGGG